rnacentral:rRNA from 1 species
CGGCGGACGGGUGAGUAACGCGUGGGUAACCUGCCUCAUACAGGGGGAGUAACAGUUGGAAACGGCUGCUAAUACCGCAUAAGCGCACAGUACCGCAUGGUACCGUGUGGAAAACUCCGGUGGUAUGAGAUGGACCCGCGUCUGAUUAGCUAGUUGGUGGGGUAACGGCCUACCAAGGCGACGAUCAGUAGCCGACCUGAGAGGGUGACCGGCCACAUUGGGACUGGGACACGGCCCAAACUCCUACGGGAGGCAGCAUG